GGACUUGACCUCCGCCUGGCACCCUGGCGUAAGGGUGAUUGCCACAUCUCGGAUUCGCCGCGGGGCAACUACCUGGGAAAACCGCAGACUGGGCAAUGAAAGACUACAUCCGGCAACCGGAUGCUGGGUUCUGUGACUCCAGGAAAAGGGGCUCCUGGGCCCAGGGAGAACAUACUAGGCGAUCUCGACAGUCGCUCCGUGACAGCCCACCAACCCCCAACCCUCUACCUCGCAGCCACCCUAAAGGCGACUUCAAGAAGAUGGAAGGAUCUCACGGAUCUCAUUCCUAAUGGUCCGCCGAAGUCUCACACAGUAGACAGACGGAGUUGAGAUGCUGGAGGAUGCAGUCACCUCCUAAACUUACGACCCACCACCAGACUUCAUCCCAGCCGGGACGUCCUCCCCCACCCGAGUCCUCCCCAUUUCUUCUCCUACUUUGCCGCAGUUCCAGGUGUCCUGCUUCCACCAGUCCCACAAAGCUCAAUAAAUACCAAGAGACCUGCAUUUACAGCAGGGGGAACAUCUCACACCCUUGCAUAAGUUAAAAUAAAUAUUACGUACACAUCUCCAUCACCUAGGAGGACGUACAUAAAUACAUAUAAAUAUUAAUUAGGAGCAAUAAGAAAUAAAUUAACGACGCUCUCCUUCCCACCGGGCCUAGCCCCAGCUGGGCUGUGCCUCGGUCUCUAUGCGCCUCGGUCUCUGUGCGCCUCGGUCCCGCCUCAAGCACCGGGUGGCGUCUCCGCUGUAGUGUUCUGAGUUCAAGUUGCCUCGGAAGUCCCAGUUGGGGAUACGCUCUCGCGCACCAGGUACGCCUGGUGUUUCUUUGUGGUUUUUCGGAUUCUUUUUGGGGAGUGCGGGGAGUCACAGUUAGAAGGCGGCCGGGUGUUGCUGGAGGAAAGUGCUGAGGUCCAGAGCGUAGUCCGAGGGCUCCGAAGUCAGAUUAAAGGGCUCGAGGACGGCGGACACAGGGGUGGGCGCCAGGGAUGCGGCGUUAGGGGCGUCCUCUGGAGGCAGGGGCGCCGGCACACCCUCUUCAGCCAUCAGGAUCUGGCAGAAGACGAUGGUGAGCAGCAGAAAGAGAAGCCUUUUGGCUGGGUUCGGUUCCUCGACUGGCAGCUGGCGCCGGACCUAAGGGGAGACAAAACAGGAGACAGGUCAGGUCGAGGCCUCUGGAGUCGGGUCGUUCCCCAGUGACUCCAGGGCAGCGCACCCCGCGAAUGCCCACUUCGGCGAUACUCACCACUCGAGGGUAGAGAACCCUGCGGCUGCGCUUUCGGUGCCCGCGAGAGGCGCUGGGGCGCCCGGCAGGGGCCGCUGCGGGCUCCGGGAGAGGGUCGAAGGUGAAGAUCUCAGGACCGGAGCCCCGCCGGGGUCCCGGGAUGGUGGAGGGGGCCGGGGUCGGGGCCUGCAGGAUGGUCAUGGUCGGGUGGCAGCUGCGAGAGUGACACAUGGUGAGCCGAGCGGAGUGUAAGGCCAAGUGAGGGUCGGCUGCCGGCAGAGGUAAU
rnacentral:lncRNA from 1 species